rnacentral:misc_RNA from 1 species
UACUGACCGAAAUUACUCCGCGGGGAGCUCACGACAUCAGUCAGCGCUGAACAUUGCACUCAAAGUCCGACUUCAGCGAAAUGGUCGACCCUGUGGUAACUCCUGAAUGGCUCUCAAGUCAAAUAAAAGCUGGCAACAAAGACCUGAGAGUUUUGGAUACAAGCAUAGGACCUUCUGGACCAUCAAUAGAUGAGUUUAAAAGUGAGCAUAUAGAAGGAGCCCAGCUUGUGAACAUAGUGAAGAAUGCUCCCCACACUCAGUAUCUUCCUGUUGGGUUACCAGAUCCCUCCGUAUUUCAAGAUUAUGUCAGAUCUCUCGGCAUUAACGCAUCAAGUCACGUGAUCCUGUACGAAAAUGUUCAGCUUAAUGGAAUGGCAGCAUCUCGGGGAUGGUGGCUGUUUAGAGUUCACGGUAUAACGAAUGUGUCUGUUUUAAACGGGGGACUGGUCAGAUGGAAGAAGGAAGGUUACCCAGUCACAGAUAAGGAGGUCAAGUAUGAGAACGGUGACGUAACGGUCAAGUUCAACAAAAGCCUGGUAAUGCUGUACGAUGACAUCAAACCCGGAGAUGGCCGACAGUUCGUGGACACUCGACACCCCGACAAUUUUGAUGGCAAAGAGAAAGAACCCUCAAAAUUUCAGACUUUCUGCAUGGAUUAUGUGGGACUGAAGUCAGAAGGUCUGACGUUUCAAACCGGGCACAUUCCCGGGGCCGUCAACAUCUUCUACUCGACACUGUACGAGGACGACACCAUCUCCCUCAAAGGGAAGGACCAACUUCUAGGAUUGUUUCAGUCAGUGGGGGUCAAGAUGGACCAACCUAUGACGACAACCUGUUACGUGGGUUUCACAGCCUGUACACUCGCCUUGGCUGCCUCUGUGUGUGGGAAGGAUGACGUCAGCGUCUACUAUGGUUCCUGGACGGAGUACGGACAAAAAGCUUCUUCCGCCGAAGUGGAGAGCAGCAAACUGUGAUCAAAACGUGCCCAGUGACUAUAAUCAUCCAACGUCUUUGGACCUGGAAAUCUGCUUCUGAUUUGUAGUGUUGCAAUCGAAGAAAAUCUGAUGAUGAGCUUCAUGUUUCAACUUAGACAGUUUCCUCUGAUUCUGACUGUUUAACAGUCGUCGUCUUCCCAAAGCAAGUGAGUCAACUAACGGCCAAAAUAGCUCCGAAUUUCGUAGCUCGAUUGUAGCGCCACGGGCGGCUGUUAUUGAUUAUGUCUCUUCUAUGUUUUCCAAUCAGAUUCGAACGUUUUUAUUUGACUAAUAGCAUGAAAAGUUUUGAAAGAGAGAGAGAGAGGAGGGGGGGUGGAGAGAGUCGUCAUGUUGUUUGUGAACUGUAUAUCGAUUUCUUUACCCGAUUUUUUGGUUCGACUAUUCAUUGUCAAGCCCCAAAAUACAUCCUCAAUUCCAAACUACAGUUCGGCAAACUGGACUUUAUGGCUCAAUUAUCUCCUUUGUCUCGGGAAAAUGAAGCGUUACAUUAUGAACAAAGCGUUGAUUUGAAGUCAGCAGUUCUGUAAUUACAUCCAUGACAUAUGUGUUUUUCUGUGCUUUAUACGUAAUUGGUUGUGACUCGUAAACAUUUACUUGUGGUAAAUUUAGAAUCAUACAGUUGACUCUUUCCUUGAUCAUGGAAAUGGUUUUGUCUCUUUAAUGUACAUCAAUGUCAGUUGACGCUAAAGCAUCAGUGUAUGAUAAUCAACUGUUGUUAGGCAUAGUGUGUCUGUGCAUAGACUCAUUGUGAUAGGAGUCCCAGACGAAAUGUGUUUGACGUUGUCAUGGUAAUUUUAUAAAACACAUUUCAAGUACAGACUCCGUUCCGUCGGGCUUUGUUCUUCACACGUGGUUUUGUGUAUGUUACUGAACUUCUGUUACUGAUAGUUCUGUCAAGGGAGACCAGUUAGGUGCUGAAAGCGACUUAUUGUUCGGACACACAUGCUCCUAUUUCCAACCAUGUUCUCUAAAUGCUGCUACAAUGGUCACACAGCAUCCCAGUCAAUACGUGGUAUGUAUUAGUAUCUCUGUUAGACGGUUGAUAGUGUAUUAAGCGAGUAUAUAUACUUCUAAUCGUUACAGUUGUCAUGGUGAUUUGAUGUUUAUGUUGAUGAAAAUAAAAUGAUAUGUAAUAAACCAUGCCCCGUACUAUGCAUGUAAAUUUACGUUUGUGGAUCGAUGCCCGGCAUAUAUUUCGUUUUGUACUUCUUGACUAUUAAAUUAGCAUCUGAUGGAA